GACGAACGCUGGCGGCGUGCUUAACACAUGCAAGUCGAACGAAGUGGCGAACGGGUGAGUAACGCGUAAUCAACCUGCCCUUCAGCGUGGGACAACAGUUGUAAACGACUGCUAAUACCGCAUACUGAAGGAGGGGCUUGCGUCUGAUUAGCUAGUUGGCGGGGUAACGGCCCACAAAGGCGAUGAUCAGUAGCCGGUGUGAGAGGAUGAACGGGCAAAUUGGGACUGAGACACGGGCCAGACUCCGACGGGAGGCAGCAGUGGGGAAUCUUCCGCAAUGGACGAAAGGCGGACGGAGCAACGCCGCGUGAGUGAUGACGGCGUUCGGGUUGUAAAGCUCUGUUAAUCGGGACGCGGUACCGGAAUAGAAAGCCACGGCUAACUACGUGCCAGCAGCCGCGGUAAUUC
rnacentral:rRNA from 1 species